rnacentral:rRNA from 1 species
GAUGAACGCUGGCGGCGUGCCUAAUACAUGCAAGUCGAGCGAACAGACGAGGAGCUUGCUCCUCUGACGUUAGCGGCGGACGGGUGAGUAACACGUGGAUAACCUACCUAUAAGACUGGGAUAACUUCGGGAAACCGGAGCUAAUACCGGAUAAUAUAUUGAACCGCAUGGUUCAAUAGUGAAAGACGGUUUUGCUGUCACUUAUAGAUGGAUCCGCGCCGCAUUAGCUAGUUGGUAAGGUAACGGCUUACCAAGGCAACGAUGCGUAGCCGACCUGAGAGGGUGAGCGGCCACACGGGAACGGAGACACGGUCCAGACUCCUACGGGAGGCAGCAGUAGGGAAUCUUCCGCGAGGGGCGAAAGCCUGACGGAGCAACGCCGCGUGAGUGAUGAAGGUCGUCGGAUCGAAAAACUCUGUUAUUAGGGAAGAACAAAUGUGUAAGUAACUAGGCACGUCGUGACGGUACCUAAUCAGAAAGCCACGGCUAACUACG